rnacentral:rRNA from 1 species
AGUCUGGUGCCAGCCGCCGCGGUAAUUCCAGCUCCACUAGCGUAUAUUAAAGUUGUUGCGGUUGAAACGCUCGUAGUUUGACUUCUGCUCCGGACCGGCGGUCCGCCUUAGCGGCGGCUACUGCCGGGUUCCGAGCUGUGUCCCCGCCGGCGCACAUGGGGUUUUUAUGCCCUUAACCGGGUGUCCCCUUGUGGCCGGCACGUUUACUUUGAAAAAAUUAGAGUGCUCAGAGCAGGCUGGUUUUUGCUUACAGCCCGAAUGGUCGUGCAUGGAAUGAUGGAACAGGACCUCGGUUCUAUUUUGUCGGUUUUUCGGAACCCGAGGUAAUGAUUAAUAGAAGCAGACGGGGGCAUUCGUACUGCGACGCUAGAGGUGAAAUUCUUAGACCGUCGCAUGACGACCUACUGCGAAAGCAUCUGCCAAGGAUGUUUUCAUUGAUCAAGAACGAAAGUUAGAGGUUCGAAGGCGAUCAGAUACCGCCCUAGUUCUAACCUUAAACGAUGCUGACUAGCGAUCCGCCGCAGUUAUUCCCAUGACCCGGCGGGUAGCUUCCGGGAAACCAAAGUCUUUGAGUUCCGGGGGAAGUAUGGUUGCAAAGCUGAAACUUAAAGGAAUUGACGGAAGGGCACCACCAGGAGUGGAGCCUGCGGCUCAAUUUGACUCAACACGGGGAAACUCACCAGGCCAGGACACCGGAAGGAUUGACAGAAUGAAGGCUCUUUCUCGAUUCGGUGGGUGGUGGUGCAUGGCCGUUCUUAGUUGGUGGAGUGAUCUGUCUGGUUAAUUCCGAUAACGAACGAGACUCUAGCCUGCUAAAUAGUCGACGGAUCUCAACCCCGUUGCCCCCGUUGUCGUUCGCGGCGAUGCGGGGCGCGGGUUCCCCGAAACCCGGUCGUCGUGCGGGCCUCCACCGUCGGUCGGUUAGCGCCGCCGGCGGCGCGCCCCGCGGCGCCGGAAACUGGCGUCCGCUUCGCAGUCUUCUUCUUAGAGGGAUAAGCGGCAGCAAAAAAUAUACUAGCCGCACGAGAGUUUGAGCCAUAACAGGUCUGUGAUGCCCUUAGAUGUUCUGGGCCGCACGCGCGCUACAAUGGAGAGUUCAGCGAGCUGGCCCUGCUCCGAGAGGAGCGGGUAACCUCGUGAAAGCUGUCCUUAAAGGGGAUUGGGGCUUGCAAAUGUUCCCCAUGAACGAGGAAUUCCCAGUAGGCGCAAUUCACCAGAUUGCGCCGAUUUAGUCCCUGCCCUUUGUACACACCGCCCGUCGCUACUACCGAUUGAAUGGUCUAGUGAGGGCACCGGACUGGCGCCCUUGGAGCCGCUACCGCCUCGGCGGGCAGCGCCCUCGGGUCGACGGAAAGGUGUCCAAGCUGGGUCAUUUAGAGGAAGUAAAAGUCGUAACAAGGUUUCCGUAGGUGAACCUGCGGAAG